ensembl:processed_transcript
CACAGCAAAUUCAUUGGUGUUAAAUUUCAAGUGUUGUGGUAAUUCAGAGUAAAGUGUUAAAAUUCUAGAGUUAGAUAAAGUGUCAUGCACUAAACAUUCAAGCUCCAGCUUGCUCCUUAUGACACACAGACAUCAAGAAUCAGGAUAUGAACCUCAACCGUGGUGGCUAAAAAAAAAAAAAGCUGCAUAGUUCAUGCCGCAAUGCAUGCUAGGUGCCAGCAUAGUACAAAGCUCCCAGCAUGCAUUGCAGCAUGAAUAAAUUAUGCAGCUUUAUGUUCUUACAAUCUCUUUCUUUUCCUUUAUUUUGUGUUGUUUUUGGGAGGUGAUAUUUCAGUAGUGUUUUUUUUUUUACUUGAUUUUUAUUUUUUUGUUUGUCACCAUUAUUGAGAUUCAAAGACUAAUUGUUGAUGUCUGGGUGUUUUUGAGUUCUGCCGUAGAUCAAACAUUCUCAUUGUAAAUAUUGGUUUUAGUUUAUUUUAUAUUAUUGGAGCUUCAGUGGUUUCAUUUAUGUAUAUUAUUUAUUUCUCACACAUAACUAAUAUGAUACUGAAUUAGAAAACAAGCUGGAAAGGAUGGCUAUGAUACCAUAAAUAACCUCUUCAAACUGACACUAUAAUUUUCUUUCGACUCUCCAUGCUAUAUGUAUAAGUAGAGUAAUUAAUACUAACUAUAGCAGCCAAAAUAAAAGACAA